CUCAAAUACUGGCUUCAAGUUUGGAUGCUGGAAAUCGGAGAGAACAUCAGCAGCAUUUCAGGAAGGUACUCUGAGAGCGUUGACCUGCUGUUCCGACAUAUCCUAUUGUUACCGGAGCCUCCCAGACCCAGUGCCGGUUCUGCCUGAUGUCCGACUCCCACUUCUAUGUGUUGCUGAGUGAGGAUGACUAACUGCACCCUGUGCCAGCCAGAUAUCACCUCAGUCUACUACGAUGGACUUCACAGAGGAUGAACUGAUGCCAACUCCAACUCUAAAACAUGGGAUACUUCACUGGCCACUGCCUGAAACUUGGAUUUAAGAUGGGCUUACAGUCAAACUACAGUGCACCUCUGCCUGCAUCACCUUGAUCAAAUGAUGGACUACUCUUAAAAUGGAAUACAUAGAUGAUUAAAUAAUUAUCAACUAAAGCCUCCAUCAGCCAAAUAACAAAGGACAAUGCGUCUGUGUGCACUUCCACAGUUAAUUCAGGAUGGACUUCAAAGACUUUAGACUUAACUUUUAGAGAUUUUUAAUUCAGUCCCCCCAAUGAUUAAAGGAAUGGUAAAUUCAAAAUGACAAUUCUGUGAUUAUUUACUCACAACCCUCUACAAUCAGGGGUGGUUCUAGGGUCAGUGGAUAUCCGGUGCUUAGC